ensembl:lncRNA
AAAAUAGAUGGUUCGAAGAUAAUGGAGUGAAUUCUUAUUUAUAAGUUGUCCUAGAUUUCAAAUAAUAGAACAUAAUAAAGGAAAACCAAAUUUUAAUGGAUGUGACAAAAUGAAGUGUGAAAAAACAUUUCCAAAGGUAUUUUACUCUGAUUGUGGCCUUAUCUCUGAAAUGUUUAAAAAGCCUGAUGGUUCUAUGCAAAUGUGUAGAUAGUAAGUGACUGUUUCUAAAAUGGCAUUGUCUUGACAAAAAAUCUGAUAUAAUUUAGCAAAUAGUUUAUCUAGUUAAGUCAUCCCUGAUCGUAGUAGAUGUGAUACCUGUUUGCAAACAUGAAAUAAAGCCAAACCAUUGUUUUCAACUAGAAUGUCCUCUUGUUCAUGUUAUUUGUGGUAUAUAAUACUAAAGGGAAAGGAAAGUGGAGGAAGCAAAAGGCAAAGGGAAAAAGAGAGUGAGUCCUUAUUCUCCUUGGAACAUACUGGGUGGCUAAACCUUCCCAGGGAAAAGUGUGUCAUCUCACUGGCUCACCCAUCAGAAUCACUUGAAAAUGAUGUGGGUAAAAUUUUAUCCUUAAGUGGCCUCUGCUUAAGGACAAAGACACAGAACAAGAAGAGACUUUUUUGUGGACUCAGGAGAUCUCCAGCAAAAAUUUAAAAUGACAAAUACUGGGAUUUAGUUCUUAUUCUCAAACCUGUUGAUCCUUUUUGGAAGUCCCCUUCUUCAAAGUUCCUCCUGAAAGGGAGUUCCCAUUUGACAAGAAAGCUGCAAAAUACUGUUCAAGCUGUUUCCCUAACUUCUGAACCAAAAUUCUUUGGAGCUCUAGAAGAGAUAUUAAUGAUAUGCAAAUAAGUCUCCAUGUGGAAAUAUCCUGAUUUCCACAGUUGUCCUUAGACACAUAUAGUGAGUCAAGUUACAGCUGAGGAGUAACAUCUGUGGUAAGCACAAAGGGACAGCUUCCGUAACCUAACAGGAAUCUCCUUGUACUUAGCAAAGGACGAGACACUGACACUUGUCAGGAAUUGUGCAAAGUGUAUUUAUGAUCCCAUUACAUGGUCCUAAAUUAAAUACAGACAUACAUAAAUUUAACUUCUGUGUGCAAAUUAGCACACACAAGGAUACUGGUUCCUCCAGGGAAUUGUGCUGAGCCUCUCUGUUUACAAAUACAGUAGUGAUUAAAAGUACAAGAAAAAAAAGCGAGCCAUCUUUUUACCAGUGCUGAGGUAAGUGCUCAUCUGCUUUAUGCACUUGAUCAAAAUUACACCCUCAAGUCAAGACUUACCAUUUAUGGACUUUCUUUGGCUCUUAACCAAACGACUUACUAAGUGUGAUAUUUCAAUUAGCUACUUCAGAGGUCUGUGUUCAUCAAGAGUUUCCAAUUACAGGCUAGCAUUUAUAAGAUAUGUCUAGGUAACACUGGCCAAUGUGGUGAUUAGAAAGCAUCUUGGGAGGCAGGCAUGUUGGUGACUAUCUUUAAUACCAGCAUUUGGAAGGCUGAGGCAGGAGGAUUAUAAAUUAAAGCCCAACCUGGGAUACAGAGGGAGUUCAAGGCCAACUUGGACUGUAUAGCCAGACCCUGACCACAAAAAAAUUAAGCAUCUUGGGAUGUGUUUGCUAAGUUUUCAAGGAUUCAGUGUGACUGCCAAUCAUUUCCAUAGUCUUGACCCAAAUAACAGUUCUGUGUUUAACUGGGCAUACAUAAUCUUAUUUAAUUCAUAAAUUUCAGUUACAUCCCAAGUUAAUAUGCUUCUGGUUCUCAUAAUAUUCACUGCCUCAUUUACACCUGAACAUUGUAUUGUAAAUUUUUAGCAAAGAUAGAUGGCUCCAGUGUCCUUUCACCCUCUACCAUGGCUGCACUAGGGACCACAGCCAUACUGCUGGAGUUGGCGCCUUGUCCUGGUAGAGAAGCCAAAUGUCUUGCAUUCUGGUCCAAUCAAAAAACUUAAAACCAACACCAUCUUCCUUCCUGACAUGCAGUAAAGUAAGAAAAGCUUAUUCCUGUUGCUCUCCCCAUGCAAGAAACUGUCUGAGGUCAGUCGUUUGGGCAUUGCUUCAAAAGGCACAUUUAUUCCAGUGGCAAUUUUAGUAGAGAAGCAAAGAAUAAGAUUAAAGACAAAACAAACAAAAAAUCAGGAUGAGUUAUGUGGAAUACAUUAAAGUAAAUAGGAAUCUGGGACCUAUACAAACCACGUGAGCUCUUCACCAGUAGACUAACCAGAAUCCCUAAGGUAAAAAGUUAUUCACAGUUGUACCAUGACACUCAUAAGCCUUCAGAAAAUACUGUUUUUAAAAAGUAGAGAACUUUUAAGCAGCUUUCCCUGAUGUCCAGUUCAAGUGUGUGCAAUGCAGAAGGCUGUAAAAUUCAAAACUAUAUGACAAAGAAAAUUCAGUGCAUAUCACAGGCUUUUAUAAAUUAUGAAAAAUCAUCAUAUAUAUUACUAUUUAAAUAACAUCUAAGAAACAUUUUGGAAUAAUUAACUUGUGUUCACAUUCCAUGCAUUUUCUAGCAGGUUAAGCCCUGGGUUUGUGUCUUGUACCGGUUUCCUACAAAGCUCCAUUCUUUUGACAAAUCCAAGCUUUCCUCGCUGAAAUGGAAGUACCCAGGGAUUUCUGACUAUUUAUCCUCUUAACUGCAUACCUGACCUCACAAGGGCUGCUUGUGAUUACUGCUGACACAGAAAACAAAUGGAAAAUCAAACUGUUUGGGGAUGUUAUUUGGGAUUUUAUUUAUGCCUUUGUAAAAUCCCUGGAUAUCAGAGACAUUACCUGAUUUUUGUUUUCAGGGAGCAAGAAUCAGUGGCCCUCUCUCGGUUGAUUUCCCCUGCUCUUAAAUCUCCAAGUGGACUGGUAUUCCCUAGUAGCAGUGAAACUUUCCCUUGUGGUUUUGCAGCACCCUCCUCCAGCAAGAAGGAAACACAACAAAACUUGAAAACAAACCAAUAGCAACAACAGAAACUCCAAACAAACAGAUGGGCAAACCAGUGACCUCUUGCGUGGUGGAGGCUCACUUUUUACUGCAGAAUUCGGUGUUGUUGAGGAACUUCCUGAUGACCAACCCCAGGCAAACUACCAGCAGCAACAUGUAGCCCACGGUGCCUGAGAAGGUGGGCGCUGCAGGCGGUGCCUGGAGAAACUGGCGCAGACCCUCCUCCACGUAGUACACCUGGUCAUAGAUGCUGAGGAAAGUGAAGAUGUGGAAAAGCUGGUGACUGUGACCAAUGAUGUCAAAGAGGCCUGGCUGGAUGCGCUCCGGGAUCUUGCUUACGUUGAAGAAGGCAGCCACCACUAGCCAGAAGUAGCGGCGGUAGAAGUGCACAAAGAGUGUGGGGUUCUCGCCACGCAGGUCGAAGAGCCAGCUCUCCAGCAUAAUGGGGCAGGCCAUGCUGAGGGGCAUGAUGAAGACAAAGGUACGCAAAGGCGAACGGGUAGGCGCACCAGUCGGUGCGGCUCUUGCAGCAGGCCACGGUGCAGGCCACCGCCAGCAUGAAGGCCACUGGCAGCACCAGUGCGCGGUAGGUGGCUAUGAGGCGCGUGCAAUCCACGUGCCAGCCCAGGCGCUGCUGUACAUACGGGGUCAUGACUCUGGCGUCCAGCAAGCUCAGGCCAGGCAGCAGGUAGUAGUAGUAGGCCACCGUGCUCCCAAAGCCAUAGUAGCUUAUGGAUGCGUAGUCCAAGUAGAAGAAGGCGGCGCGCAGGCGCAGUGACAGGCAGCUGAACACGUGCGCAGUGCAGCUCAUGGCGAAGGUCAGCAGCACUCCGGACGCGUAGCACCACAGUGGCAGCAACCACGGAUGGUGGAAGGGCACAUCGCAGCCGCUCAGGAAGAACAGGCGGCAGAACUUGCUCAGGAAUAGUAUCAGCGGGAUGAAGUGCGUCCAGAAGUUGAGCGUCUCAUUGGUAUGUCUGCUGUGGGCUCCCAUUCCAGAUGCUCACUGAAGUCCUCUCAGAAGCCUGCAAGACGCCCUGAAAGUCACCCAUC